UAGUGUAUUUGUGUUUUGUUAUGAAAAUAACAAAGGAUUUACAAUUAGAAGUGGGUUUUACAAUACAAAAUGGACUUUACAAUAAAAAGUGUCAAGACUAUAGUCUGGGCCACACCAGUUACCAGAGGACAAGGUAGAGUACUGACCUUGCUGCCAGCAGCACACAUCUCCAGUAACUGAGAGCAAAGCAGACCAGCGUCUUCUCAGAGCAGACAUAGUAAGAAAUGGGACAAUGACAGAUAAUGCUCUGUAUGGAGGUUUGCCAGAACAAUCCUUACAUUAAUACAUAAUGUGCUCUUACUGAAUAUUUCAGAUACAAUCCUCUCUAAUCUUGAACAGCUUUGUUGAUGGAGCAGAGAGCUGAGUGCAGCACGUGGAGCAGUCUGUGUGCGAAGACAAGGAUGCAGUGAUGGAGUGCAAAUCGUAUUGGGAUGCCAGAUCCUUUUCUGCCUCCUGGCCAGUAGGGCUGAAAUUCCUCCUUAUGUCUGGGAAAAGUGGGAAACCUGGCUGACUGCCAGCCUACAGAUUAGGGCUGCUGAGAUGCUGUCAGCAGCAGUCUUGAUGGCUGAACUGGUUCAGGAAAGAAAACCUUUUGGAAUGCUCAUUUUCUGAAUCUUCUGACAAAGCGUAAUUAAAAAAAAG